rnacentral:rRNA from 1 species
CGGCGGACGGGUGAGUAACGCGUGGGUAACCUGCCUCAUACAGGGGGAUAACAGUUGGAAACGGCUGCUAAUACCGCAUAAGCGCACAGUACCGCAUGGUACGGUGUGAAAAACUCCGGUGGUAUGAGAUGGACCCGCGUCUGAUUAGGUAGUUGGUGGGGUAACGGCCUACCAAGCGACGAUCAGUAGCCGCCUGAGAGGGUGACGGCCACAUUGGGACUGAGACACGGCCCAA